GAGAAGUAUUUCUUCCUCCAUCUAGCACCUCAGUGUUGGCUGUACUCUCUCGACUGUCCACACAAAAUCAAAACAAAGGUUAUGUACGAGUUGCUAGUGAUGAGUUUAACUUUUGCAAACAAAAAGAACAUUGAAAAUCUUAAUGUCCUAAACUAUUAAAGAAAUAGUAGCCUCAAUCACAGCAACGAGCCUAUCGUCCCAAUGCUAACAUAGCUACCACCAUGCCACCUAAUUACUCAUCUAUACUUGGAGCACCACCUUCCUUCAGUCCCAUGUUAACGAAUUUAGCAGAGCGGUUUCAGAAGUUUUUAGCCACAUAGCUACGUACUAUGUCAGCCUCCACUUAUAUAGGUUUGUCAUAAGUCAUUCAGGUAUUUCUUCCUCAUGGAUCUUUGACUCAAGUGCUUCCACACAUAUAUUGUCUAACUCAGAAAUCUCUAAUGACUUGUAUCUUUUUAACCCAUCUAUGUCUGUUAUGACUGUUGACGAUACACCAUUACCUUUAGCAGGUGUUUGUUCUAUUAAUUAUAUAAUUUAUCACUUUUAGAUGUUUAUUAUGUUCC
rnacentral:lncRNA from 1 species